rnacentral:rRNA from 1 species
GACGAACGCUGGCGGCGUGCCUAAUACAUGCAAGUAGAACGCUGAAGGAAGGAGCUUGCUCUUUCUGGAUGAGUUGCGCACGGGUGAGUAACGCGUAGGUAACCUGCCUGGUAGCGGGGGAUAACUAUUGGAAACGAUAGCUAAUACCGCAUAAAAUUGAUUAUUGCAUGAUAGUCAAUUAAAAGGUGCAACUGCACCACUACCAGAUGGACCUGCGUUGUAUUAGCUAGUUGGUGGGGUAACGGCUCACCAAGGCGACGAUACAUAGCCGACCUGAGAGGGUGAUCGGCGACACUGGGACUGAGACACGGCCCAGACUCCUACGGGAGGCAGCAGUAGGGAAGCUUCGGAAAUGGACGGAAGUCUGACCGAGCAACGCCGCGUGAGUGAAGAAGGUUUUCGGAUCGUAAAGCUCUGUUGUAAGAGAAGAACGAGUGUGAGAGUGGAAAGUUCACACUGUGACGGUAUCUUACCAGAAAGGGACGGCUAACUACGUG